UACGUAGGGGACGAGCGUUGUCCGGAUUCAUUGGGCGUAAAGCGCACGUAGGCGGCUUGGCAAGUCGGAUGUGAAAUCCCUCGGCUCAACCAAGGAAGUGCAUCCGAAACUGCUGAGCUUGAGUACGAAAGAGGAUCGCGGAAUUCCCGGUGUAGAGGUGAAAUUCGUAGAUAUCGGGAGGAACACCAGUGGCGAAGGCGGCGAUCUGGGUCGAUACUGACGCUGAGGUGCGAAAGCGUGGGGAGCAAACAGG
rnacentral:rRNA from 1 species